CCUACGGGAGGCAGCAGUGGGGAAUAUUGCACAAUGGGGGAAACCCUGAUGCAGCAACGCCGCGUGAGUGAAGAAGUAUCUCGGUAUGUAAAGCUCUAUCAGCAGGGAAGAAAAUGACGGUACCUGACUAAGAAGCCCCGGCUAACUACGUGCCAGCAGCCGCGGUAAUACGUAGGGGGCAAGCGUUAUCCGGAUUUACUGGGUGUAAAGGGAGCGUAGACGGUGUGGCAAGUCUGAAGUGAAAGCCCAGGGCUCAACCCCGGGACUGCUUUGGAAACUGUCAUGCUGGAGUGCUGGAGAGGUAAGCGGAAUGCCUAGUGUAGCGGUGAAAUGCGUAGAUAUUAGGAGGAACACCAGUGGCGAAGGCGGCUUACUGGACAGUAACUGACGUUGAGGCUCGAAAGCGUGGGGAGCAAACAGGAUUAGAUACCCGAGUAGUC
rnacentral:rRNA from 1 species